rnacentral:lncRNA from 1 species
AAGCGGAGCUACGGGUGCUGGGAAACCAGAACUAGCCAGUUUUCUAAACAGAGUGGUUAGCAAAAUUACAUGUUGUGAAAUGGGGCUCCAUCCUUUAAAGGAUCAUUACCUAUUUUUAAAAGAACCUGUCCAAUGAUUCUUCUUGACAGCCAGAUGUGGACAGAUGGUAAAUGCCAGAUAACAAGCAGUCCUCAUUCUCAAGCUUUUGAACUUGAACAAGGAAGGACCUUGGCCAUUGAUCUCUCCAGCACCUAUAACUUUGGAUGAAGCUACACAGAAAUCAGAAAAUCAGACCUACAACAGUCUUCUAAGAAGUCAUAGUUUCAGAGCUCAGGUUGAUCUUACCACAGUGGCCUUCAGAUGCAUUAAGUUUCUGGAUUCUUCCUACACUAUCUCAGGAAGGGUGAUGCCCCUUGCCCACAUGGACAUAUUUGCAACAGAUAGAUUCCUGCCGUAAAUGAGCAAUCAAUACAACCAGUCCAUUCAAAG